ensembl:lncRNA
AUGCAAAAACAGUGUGAUUUUAUAUAUAUAUAUGUAUAUAUAUGUCUGUCUGUAUGUGUGUGUAUAUAUAUAUAUAUGUAUGUAUAUAUAUAUAUGUAUGUAUAUGUUAAUAUUUUAUUGAAACCAUUGAUGUCCCUCUUUGCAGAACUCAAACUAACUGGAGUUAAGGACACAGAAGUCUGCUUGUGUGAGGAGGUGGUUUUCUCAGCUUCUUCUGAAGAGAGGGAAAGAUCGUUUAAGAUGUUAAAAGCAAGAGACAUGGGAGAGCAUCAUUCCUUUGAGAUUUUAUAAAUCAAACCAAGUUUGGAGUUGUCUUGUCUGAUUUGGAGAGUCAUCAUUCUUGGUCUUCGCUCUUAGAGGUAAAGUUCACACAAAAAAUCAUUUACUUGCCCUCAAGUCCUUCCAAACCUAUAAGACUUUUGUCUGUCUUUACAACAUAAAUUAAUAUAUUUUUAGUUUUCUCAUAAUAUUUGUUAAUCCAUUUAUAGUUUAGAUAAUCAGUAUUUUCAAGCUUCAUAAAUAUAGAGUUAUUGUAGAAGUAAAUUCUGAUAUUUAUAUAUGAAUACAUCUAAAAUUAUAUGAUAGCAAACAUGUAUGUUCAAAAUAAAAUACUGGUCUCCCAGACCAGCAAUGGAGGACACAAAAAGAGAAUAUUAAAUAUAUUCAUACGUUUUCCAAAAAAUUAGCAGAUUUUGUAUGAGUCUGGAAAAACAUGGGGAGAGUAAAUUAUGAACAUUUUAAUUAUUUGGUGAACUAACGGUUUGAAGAGCAGCCCUCCACGUACAUGAAUAUUGUGAGGUAUGUGAAUGUCAUGUCUGUUUUAAUGUUUCAGUAAAGAAGCUUUCUGAAAGCAAUAUUUAUUCAAACAAUAUCACCUGUCCUCACACUAGUGCUGCCAUUAUAGACUUCAUGAGAGCUGUGAUAGACAGACAUUAAACAACCACACAAAGUGUUGAAACUUUAAAACCGAUUAUUUACCUAUCCUUACGGAUGUGAAUACACCUCUACCUGAAAAUGGAUAGUUUAAUUAAAUGUUUAAUUUUUUCAAAUGUGUUUCUCUUAGGCCACUGAUGAAGAGCAGGCGGUGACUGGGAUGAAUGCUGGUCAGAGAGGAGAAUCUUCUUUCCCCUAAACUGAUGCAGCGGUGGUUUUAAAGAAGCACGCUGCCCUGGAUUAUGUAGAAGAUGUCAGAUGCUGUGCUGAUGGGGUUUCUUCAUGAUUACAUCAGUUAUGCUAAAGAGAUCAUGAAAAUUGACCGUGAUGCAUGAUCUGUAUUAAUGGACUAUGAAACAAACUGUAAGUGUAUAAUUUGUUAAAAAAAAAAAAGUUAAAUGCUUUUUCUGUGUUGUUUAGUAGAAGAGUUUACACUCUGUCAUUCAUACACCUGCUCACAUUCUUUCACACACACACACACACACACGCGUCUGUUAAAUGUUAUAAUAUCAAAGUUAAUGUUGUGAUUUAUUUGUGUACUGUCAUGCCAGAAUAGUUGGUAAAGAACCUAACUAAUUGUAAAUUUAUUGUAUGUGUUUUCGUAUAUUUUUAUACAAUAUAUACAACUGAACAAAGUCCAAUUUGAUCUUAAGUUAUAUUCAUCAAAUGUUCAAUGCUUUGUUUAUGAACUCUGUAGCUGUUAAUGCCAUCCUUUUCUGCAUUUCUUCUAACAUGUUACUUUUUGACUUUUCUCUUGUUUUUAAUAAAUUAUUUUCCUUUUGAUAAUUAUUAUUUGUGUGUAAAAGUGAUAUUUAAAAUGAACAACAUUUGUAGGUUUAAUGCCUAGCUCAAUUUGGGUUAAUUUUAACGUAGAAAUGCAUUGUUUCCCCACAUGGCUGCACUCUGCGAGUUUAUUUUCUGCCAGCAGGAGGCGCUAAGAGCGGGAGAGGUAGGUUUCUCCGGUAACGGCUGCAGAGCGGUGCUGAGCUCACAAACACUGCCUUAUCAAGCACAUGCGAAAUGAUAUCGAACAUUUUCUAAAUACAGUAGUUUUCCUUCUGAAAUACAGUGAUAAAAAACACCCGCUCUGGUUUUUGAAACCCUGCAAUAUAGUCAUUUUAAACCAUAAAAAAUGGCAACCCAGCAGGCUGGGUUAAAUAUGAUAACCCAACUGGUUGGGUUAAAAUAACCCAGCGCUGGGUUCGUCCCUUUUUGACCCAGCGCUGGGUUGUCAAAAUAACCCAAAUUGGGUUGUUUUCAACCCAGCAGUUUUUAGAGUGUAGUUAUUGUAAUUACAAUAAUAAGUACAUAGUAUGUACAUGAGGAACAGGACUGUAAAAUAAAGUGCUACCUAGUUAAUAGUAAGAAUUGGUCCCUAUACUAACUUUGAACAGUGCUUUAAACCUUGAUCUAAUGCAACUGAAGUUGAACUGUAAAUGUGCGACUGUGUGCAUGAGGUUAUUAAUUUAAUUAAUAAUCUCCAUAUCACUUUCAGUCUCUGUCAACAUUAGACGUUCUCUACAGAAGACUCUCGAACAAUACCAAGUGCAAGUGUGUCAUCUUCAAACCACUUUAAACACAACAAAUAACUCACACUUAAAUUACAGACUAAGCCAACUGUACAUACUUGUAUCUGUUAUUUUUAAAAGUAUUAAUUUAAGGCUAUAUGAUUUUUGUAUACAUGUAAUUCCAGUUGUUCCUGUUUUUUUGUAAGUUUAAGAUAAAUUGUAGUACAAAACUUAAUGAUGAGUCAUGAUUUGUCAGUAUAAAUUAUUUCACUCACAAGUACGCACACAGUAAACCGAGACUGCAUCCAAAUUCGCAAUAUUCCCUAGAAAAACGGUAUGUUAAAGGAGUAAUAUUUGUAGAAUUCAGAAUGUAAAAAGUACCUAUGUGAUCUACUACUUACUGCGCGAUACUAAAGUGUUGAUCCAGUUGACACUUUAAUAUCCCAUGAGGCCAUGGGAGAGGAUUUUUAACGGUCUCAAACCGCUACAAUGAAAACCCUAAUAAGUUGACUCGACUCCACUGAUCGAGUAAACUUGUUCCUUCAAUUUAACUGAUUAAAGAGUGUCCUAAAACUUACUUCAAACCAGUUUGAAGUAAGUUUUAGGACACUCUUUACUCAGUUAAAUUGAAUAAAAAAACAAAACAAAAAAAAGAAACAGAUCUUUUUUGUUUUUUUUAUAUACAAAAUGAAGAGAGAUGACGCGCUUUUUGCAAUUGCCAAUCUGCACUAGUUCUCUUGUUGCAAGGCAGAACUGCUUGAACGGCCAAACACAUUAAAUAAAGACCAAGCUGUUUUAAGCUGUUUUAAUAAAUUACGAUUUUGAGUUAACUACACUUGAAAUAUUAAGUUUAAGUUGUUAGACAUAUUUUCCUACAUAUUUUGUAGGAAAACAAAUUACAUGAACUUACAUUCUGAUUUAUAUGCCCAAAACUUUUAAUUACUUUAAAAGUUUUAAGUAAUGUUUAGUCAAUAUUACUUAAUUAAGUAAAGACAGAAUUUUGGGUUCACAGAGUGUAGAGGGCCAAACAUUAUAAAAGUGUAACUUGCAUUAAAAUAUCUUAGGAAUAUAAUGCUGUAGAAAGAAGCCUUCACAUCUUCUUAUUGAGAU